UACAGAGGGGGCAAGCGUUAUUCGGAAUUAUUGGGCGUAAAGGGCGCGUAGGCGGCCUGGCAAGUGGAAGGUGAAAUCCCUCGGCUUAACCGAGGAACUGCCCUCCAAACUGCUUGGCUUGAGUCCGGGAGAGGUGAGUGGAAUUCCCAGUGUAGCGGUGAAAUGCGUAGAUAUUGGGAGGAACACCAGUGGCGAAGGCGGCUCACUGGACCGGAACUGACGCUGAGACGCGAAAGCGUGGGGAGCAAACAGG
rnacentral:rRNA from 1 species